GACGAACGCUGGCGGCGUGCUUAACACAUGCAAGUCGAACGAAGUGGCGAACGGGUGAGUAACGCGUAAUCAACCUGCCCUUCAGAGGGGGACAACAGUUGGAAACGACUGCUAAUACCGCAUACUGAAGGAGGGGAUUGCGUCUGAUUAGGUCGUUGGGGGGGUAACGGCCCACCAAGGCGAUGAUAGGUAGCCGGUCGGGUAGGAGGACCGGCCCAAUUGGGACGGAGAACCGGCCCAGAGGCCUACGGGAGGCAGCAGGGGGGAAUCUUCCGAAAUGGACGAAAGUCUGACGGAGCAACGCCGCGGGAGUGAUGACGGCCUUCGGGUUGUAAAGCUCUGUUAAUCGGGACGCGGUACCGGAAUAGAAAGCCACGGCUAACUACGUGCCAGCAGCCGCGGUAAUAC
rnacentral:rRNA from 1 species